rnacentral:rRNA from 1 species
GAUGAACGCUGGCGGCGUGCCUAAUACAUGCAAGUCGAGCGAACAGACGAGGAGCUUGCUCCUCUGACGUUAGCGGCGGACGGGUGAGUAACACGUGGAUAACCUACCUAUAAGACUGGGAUAACUUCGGGAAACCGGAGCUAAUGCCGGAUAAUAUAUUGAACCGCAUGGUUCAAUAGUGAAAGACGGUUUUGCUGUCACUUAUAGAUGGAUCCGCGCCGCAUUAGCUAGUUGGUAAGGUAACGGCUUACCAAGGCAACGAUGCGUAGCCGACCUGAGUGGGUGAUCGGCCACACUGGAACUGAGACACGGUCCAGACUCCUACGGGAGGCAGCAGUAGGGAAUCUUCCGCAAUGGGCGAAAGCUUGACGGAGCAACGCCGCGUGAGUGAUGAAGGUCUUCGGAUCGUAAAACUCUGUUAUUAGGGAAGAACAAAUGUGUAAGUAACUAUGCACGUCUUGACGGUACCUAAUCAGAAAGCCACGGCUAACUACGUG